rnacentral:rRNA from 1 species
UACGUAGGAGGCGAGCGUUGUCCGGAAUCACUGGGCGUAAAGCGCACGUAGGCGGCUUUUUAAGUCAGGGGUGAAAUCCUGGAGCUCAACUCCAGAACUGCCUUUGAUACUGAGAAGCUUGAGUCCGGGAGAGGUGAGUGGAACUGCGAGUGUAGAGGUGAAAUUCGUAGAUAUUCGCAAGAACACCAGUGGCGAAGGCGGCUCACUGGCCCGGUACUGACGCUGAGGUGCGAAAGCGUGGGGAGCAAACAGG